UACGUAGGGCGCAAGCGUUGUCCGGAAUUAUUGGGCGUAAAGAGCGUGUAGGCGGCUUGUUAAGUCUUGCGUGAAAUCUCGGGGCUCAACCCCCGAGCGGUCGUGAGAAACUGGCAGGCUAGAGUGCGGGGAGAGGAGAGUGGAACUCCUGGUGUAGCGGUGAAAUGCGCAGAUAUCAGGAAGAACCACCCGUGGCGAAGGCGGCUCUCUGGAACGCAACUGACGCUGAGACGCGAAAGCGUGGGGAGCAAACAGG
rnacentral:rRNA from 1 species